rnacentral:rRNA from 1 species
GACGAACGCUGGCGGCGUGCUUAACACAUGCAAGUCGAACGGUGAAGCUCCAGCUUGCUGGAGUGGAUCAGUGGCGAACGGGUGAGUAACACGUGAGCAACCUGCCCCUGACUCUGGAAUAAGCGCUGGAAACGGCGUCUAAUACUGGAUACGAGAAGGGUCCGCAUGGGCACUUUCUGGAAAGUUUUUCGGUUGGGGAUGGGCUCGCGGCCUAUCAGCUUGUUGGUGAGGUAAUGGCUCACCAAGGCGACGACGGGUAGCCGGCCUGAGAGGGCGACCGGCCACACGGGGACUGAGACACGGCCCAGACCCCUAGGGGAGGCAGGGGGGGGGAAUUUUGCAAAAGGGGGGAAGGCCUGAUGCAGCGACGCCGGGGGGGGGAGGAGGGCCUUCGGGUUGAAAACCUUUUUCAGAGGGGAAGAAGCGAAAGGGGCGGUACCUGCAGAAGAAGCACCGGCAAACUACGU